rnacentral:rRNA from 1 species
UACGGGGGGGGCAAGCGUUGUUCGGAAUUACUGGGCGUAAAGGGCUCGUAGGCGGCCAACUAAGUCAGACGUGAAAUCCCCAGGCUUAACCUGGGAACUGCGUCUGAUACUGGAUGGCUUGAAUUCGGGAGAGGGAUGCAGAAUUCCAGGUGUAGCGGUGAAAUGCGUAGAUAUCUGGAGGAAUACCGGUGGCGAAGGCGGCAUCCUGGACCGACAUUGACGCUGAUGAGCGAAAGCCAGGGGAGCAAACGGG